GGCAGCAGCGGCUGGAUGCCGAGCGCCGGAGCUGGGAGCUCGCUCGUCCAGCCCCGCGCCAAUGGUGGCAAGGGCGGCCGAGGCUGGCGCUGAGGCUCCCCAAGCCUUAUUGGCUUGCGGCUGUUCAGCCAGCCCUCUGGCUGCCAGGGUGUGCAGAGGUCCCCAGGGAGUUAGGGCCUGAGGUUCAGCUCAGAGGGAGAGACGAAGCCCAAAUCCCCGACUACUAACUAUUCCAGAGGCAGCAACCAUCUUACUGGCGUCCCUUCAGAAAUCACCAGAAGAUGAAGAAAAAAACUUUGAUCAAACCAGAUUCCUGGAAGACAGUCUGCUUAACUGCUUUUGUCAGUCUUGGGGAAAAGGCUGAAGAAAUGACUAGAGUGGAGGGAUGGAGUCACCUGGCAGCAGCUGUCUGAAUAGGGGAACAAGUACAGGAUAGAAGGUGAUUCCUACACACACUGUCAAAGCCAGCCUCCUCUUCCUCAUCAUAUCUCUCAUCCUCCACUUCAUCUUCCACAUCACUGCUCUGAGGACUGGAGGCCUGAGACCCUGAAGGAGAAGGUGGUACUGAGGAAGGCCUGGGAUAUUUAAAUCCUUCUGUCUGCCAAAGACAAAAAUAAGACAUAAACAUCAUAACACUUUCUUGGUUUCCAAUGAUGUAAAUACUAUGCAUGCACUAUCAAUUUUUUAAGUAGUUAUCUAUCUUUUGUAGUCUGGGUGCUAGUAAACUUUGAUUGAUUUUGAUUUUGAUACCACCAGUCUCAAGAGGGAUUCAUUCAAUAUAUAACCAUUCUUUAUUAAGU
rnacentral:sRNA from 1 species